UACCAGACUCCUACGGGAGGCAGCAGUGGGGAAUAUUGCACAAUGGGGGAAACCCUGAUGCAGCAACGCCGCGUGAAGGAAGACGGUUUUCGGAUUGUAAACUUCUAUCAAUAGGGAAGAAAGAAAUGACGGUACCUAAAUAAGAAGCCCCGGCUAACUACGUGCCAGCAGCCGCGGUAAUACGUAGGGGGCAAGCGUUAUCCGGAAUUACUGGGUGUAAAGGGAGCGCAGACGGCAGUGCAAGUCUGGAGUGAAAGCCCGUGGCUUAACCACGGGACUGCUCUGGAAACUGUGCAGCUAGAGUGCAGGAGAGGCAGGCGGAAUUCCUAGUGUAGCGGUGAAAUGCGUAGAUAUUAGGAGGAACACCGGUGGCGAAGGCGGCCUGCUGGACUGUAACUGACGUUGAGGCUCGAAAGCGUGGGGAGCAAACAGGAUUAGAUACCCCUGUAAA
rnacentral:rRNA from 1 species